rnacentral:rRNA from 1 species
AGCGAACGCUGGCGGCAGGCCUAACACAUGCAAGUCGAACGAACUCUUCGGAGUUAGUGGCGGACGGGUGAGUAACACGUGGGAACGUGCCUUUAGGUUCGGAAUAACUCAGGGAAACUUGUGCUAAUACCGAAUGUGCCCUUCGGGGGAAAGAUUUAUCGCCUUUAGAGCGGCCCGCGUCUGAUUAGCUAGUUGGUGAGGUAAAGGCUCACCAAGGCGACGAUCAGUAGCUGGUCUGAGAGGAUGAUCAGCCACAUUGGGACUGCGACACGGCCCAAACUCCUACGGGAAGCAGCAGUGGGGAAUCUUGCGCAAUGGGCGAAAGCCUGACGCAGCCAUGCCGCGUGAAUGAUGAAGGUCUUAGGAUUGUAAAAUUCUUUCACCGGGGACGAUAAUGACGGUACCCGGAGAAGAAGCCCCGGCUAACUUCGUG